CCUACGGGAGGCAGCAGUGGGGAAUUUUGGACAAUGGGGGCAACCCUGAUCCAGCCAUUCCGCGUGAGUGAAGAAGGCCUUCGGGUUGUAAAGCUCUUUCGCAAGGGAAGAAAACUUAUGAUCGAAUAAAUCAUGAGGUUGACGGUACCUUGAUAAGAAGCACCGGCUAACUACGUGCCAGCAGCCGCGGUAAUACGUAGGGUGCGAGCGUUAAUCGGAAUUACUGGGCGUAAAGCGUGCGCAGGCGGUUUUGUAAGUCGGAUGUGAAAUCCCCGGGCUCAACCUGGGAACUGCGUUCGAAACUGCAAGGCUAGAGUGUGUCAGAGGGGGGUAGAAUUCCACGUGUAGCAGUGAAAUGCGUAGAGAUGUGGAGGAAUACCAAUGGCGAAGGCAGCCCCCUGGGAUAACACUGACGCUCAUGCACGAAAGCGUGGGGAGCAAACAGGAUUAGAUACCCUGGUAGUCCACGCCCUAAACGAUGUCAACUAGUUGUUGGUAGAGUAAAAUCUAUGAGUAACGUAGCUAACGCGUGAAGUUGACCGCCUGGGGGAGGUACGGUCGCGAGAUAAACUAACGAAGAAGUAGACGCGUGAGACGUGCGACGGACGACGACGAGGGAGGAGG
rnacentral:rRNA from 1 species